AGCAGCCGCGGUAAUCCCAGCUCCAAUAGCGUAUAUUAAAGUUGUUGCAGUUAAAAAGCUCGUAGUUGAAUUUCGGGAUCAGUUGGUCGGUCGUGCCUCGGUACGUACUGGUCAAAUUGAUUCCUACCUUCUGACGAACCACGAUGUCAUUAAUUUGGUGUCGCGGGAAAUCAGGACUGUUACUUUGAAAAAAUUAGAGUGUUUAAAGCAGGCUCGCGCUUGAAUACAUUAGCAUGGAAUAAUGAAAUAGGACGUUUGAUUCUAUUUUGUUGGUUUCUAGGAUCGACGUAAUGAUUAAUAGGGAUAGUUGGGGGCAUUAGUAUUCAAUUGUCAGAGGUGAAAUUCUUGGAUUUAUUGAAGACUAACUACUGCGAAAGCAUUUACCAAGGAUGUUUUCAUUAAUCAAGAACGAAAGUUAGGGGAUCGAAGACGAUCAGAUACCGUCGUAGUCUUAACCAUAAACUAUGCCGACUAGGGAUCGGAUGAUGUUAAUUUUUUAAUGACUCAUUCGGCGCCUUAC
rnacentral:misc_RNA from 1 species